UUUAYUUCUGUCUUAUAAUAAUAUUUUGAAAUUUAUAUUUUAGUAAAAAAGCUAAAAUUAUUUAUAGGGACGAGAAGACCCUAUCAAGUUUUACAAUCUAAAAUUUAUUUUCAAAUUAAAAUUUAAAUUGUUUUGCUGGGGCAGCAGAUAAAAAAUUUUUAUUUUUAAAUUAUGAUAAAUAAAUCUUGAAAAAUCAAAAAUUUUUUAAUUAAAAAUAAAUUACUGUAGGGAUAACAGCAUAAUUUUUUUAGAGAGUUCUUAUCAUCAAAAAAGUUUGUGACCUCGAUGUUGGAUUAAAAUUCCUAAUUCGUGCAAUAAUGAAAUAAGGAAGU
rnacentral:rRNA from 1 species